AGACCUCACCCAUGGUGAUCAGCACCCAUCAAGGCAAAUGGCUCAUACCAGGGUCUCCAGAAAGGCUUGUGUUGGUUGAGCUUGUCAGCACAGUAGACUCCCCUACACGCCUGGUGUUGUUUGGGUUCUACAGGAAGGUGGGGAGCAUCAGAACCCAGGACACCCCAAGCUUUCUGAACCUUGGUGGUAUUGAUUGGCGAGGUCUAGAAGGAAGACAGGCAAAGCUCCAUUGGGGGUCAGACCUUCGCCAGCUGAACAGGAGAAGUAAAGUUGCCUGUUUCCUAGGAGAUUCGGCAGAAUGUCUUCCAGAGCUUAGGAUAAGUGGGAAUAUAUUCUCUGCUAUAGCAGUCCCUACCUUCUGGGGAAAACACAAAGGAAAGAUUGGUGAGACCAACUUCCAAGUGAAAAUAAAGAGAAGCUUACCGAC
rnacentral:lncRNA from 1 species